GCCUAGGGAUUGGCCAGUGAGCUCUUGUGCCUUAGAACCAGUGUGGUUGGACACAAGAAGUUCUGGAUCACGGCCUAAACUGGUGCAGCAACUCCUCAAGACUUUGCGCACUCAACAACUUAGCUUCACCUCUUCAUGGAACUGGUUUGAAGUCUCCCCCUCUCAACUGACUUCACAGCCUUCUUAGAGAAGCUAGGAUACGACCAGAUCAUCUUCAAAGCACCAGUGAGGCUGAUCAACACUUCAUACACGGCUUGCCCUCUUCAUAGAACUGGUUUGGAUCUCCCCCUCUCAACAGACUUUAUAGCCACCUUAGAGAAGCUAGGAAAUGACCAGGAACACCUUUAGUGAGGCUCAAGCAAUGGUACCUGAUACAUUAUCCCAAAGGUGCAUCAGUACCUAUCAAAAACAAGAAAAUGAAUAUCCUGCAUCACAUUUGAUGCACACAAUCUCACAAUUCAAUCAUAAUCAUCUUAAGUAUCUUUUCAAGCACAAGCAAUGAAAUAAGAUGAAUGAAAAAGAUUGAAAAGAGUUUUAAAAGUCUAAGGGAACUUCCCUUGUGUUUUUGUGAGUUUCCUAACUCGGCCAAUGCACCAUCUUCAUGGCAUCAUCA
rnacentral:lncRNA from 1 species